rnacentral:rRNA from 1 species
UACGUAGGCAGCGAGCGUUGUUCGGAGUUACGGGGCGUAAAGGGUGUGUAGGCGGUUGUUUAAGUUUGGUGUGAAAUCUCCCGGCUCAACUGGGAGGGUGCGCCGAAUACUGAAUGACUUGGAGUGCGGGAGAGGAGAGUGGAAUUCCUGGUGUAGCGGUGAAAUGCGUAGAUAUCAGGAGGAACACCGGUGGUGUAGCCGGCUCUCUGGACCGUAACUGACGCUGAGACACGAAAGCGUGGGUAGCAAACAGG